rnacentral:rRNA from 1 species
GACAGAGGGUGCAAACGUUGUUCGGAUUUACUGGGCGUAAAGCGCACGUAGGCGGACUUGUCAGUCAGGGGUGAAAUCCCGGGGCUCAACCUCGGAACUGCCUCUGAUACAGCAAGUCUCGAGUCCGGAAGAGGUGGGUGGAAUUCCUAGUGUAGAGGUGAAAUUCGUAGAUAUUAGGAAGAACACCGGUGGCGAAGGCGGCCCACUGGUCCGGUACUGACGCUGAGGUGCGAAAGCGUGGGGAGCAAACAGG